rnacentral:ncRNA from 1 species
UGGGGAGUAUGGUUUCAAUAAUUAAAUUGAAAGGAAUUGAUGGGGUUUCACACAAGAAAAGGAACAUGUGGUUCAAGUCAAUUCAAAGAAAAUAAUCUUACUAGGGCUUGAAAUUCCAUGAAUCCUCAAUAAAUAGAGGAAUUACAUUAGGAACACAGACACAGGUGGUGCAUUAUUUUCAUCAACUCAUGAUGUAAGGUGUUGGGUUUGGUCCCACAAUGAAUGAAACUUUCACAUUUAGUUACAAGCAUUGAGUUUGGAAACCUAAUAAAAUUGACAACAAUAAGCUAGAGGAAGAUGAGGAUGAUGUUAAGUCAUCAUGCCCCUUAUGCCUUAGGAAACAUAUGCUACAAUGUCUAAGACAAAGUUUCACAACCCCAUGAGGUUAAGCUAACCUAAAACACCUAGCCUCAAUUCAGAUUGCAUGUUUCAACUCACAUGAUGAAUAUGGAAUCACUAGUCAUUGUCGAUUAGCCAUAUGAUAAUGAAUAAUUUAUCAGGGCUUGUACACAUUACCCAUCCCCACCAUGGGAUUUGGCCAUGCCCCAAUUCAUUACCUUAAAUACAAGGAGGGGGAUGCUGAAAUUUGGGCUAGUGGUUGGAGUGAAGUCAUAACAAGAUAUUCAUACUAGAAGGUGUGACUA